GGCAGUGUGGCGUAGUGGUAAGGCGCUGGGCUCGAAACCAAAAGGUUGCCAGUUUGAUUCCCUGCUUGGGCA